rnacentral:rRNA from 1 species
UACGUAGGGUGCGAGCGUUAAUCGGAAUUACUGGGCGUAAAGCGUGCGCAGGCGGUUUGUUAAGACAGAUGUGAAAUCCCCGGGUUUAACCUGAGAACUGCAUUUGUGACUGGCAAGCUAGAGUCCGGAAGAGGAGAGUGGAAUUCCCGGUGUAGCGGUGAAAUGCGCAGAUAUCGGGGAGAACACCCGUGGCGAAGGCGGCUCUCUGGGACGGUACUGACGCUGAGACGCGAAAGCGUGGGGAGCGAACAAG